UACGGAGGGAGCUAGCGUUGUUCGGAAUUACUGGGCGUAAAGCGUACGUAGGCGGUUACUCAAGUCAGAGGUGAAAGCCCGGGGCUCAACCCCGGAACUGCCUUUGAAACUAGGUAGCUAGAAUCUUGGAGAGGUCAGUGGAAUUCCGAGUGUAGAGGUGAAAUUCGUAGAUAUUAGGAAGAACACCGGUGGCGAAGGCGGCCCACUGGUCCGGCACUGACGCUGAGGUGCGAAAGCGUGGGGAGCAAACAGG
rnacentral:rRNA from 1 species